GGACGUGUGGCCCAAUGGCAAGGCGCUUGACUACGACUUGUAGCAUUAUCAAGAGAUUCCAGGUUCGACCCCUGGCACGUUCA
rnacentral:tRNA from 1 species